GAUAAACGCUGGCGGCAUGCCUAAUACAUGCAAGUCGAACGGAGGUGCUUGCACCUCAGUGGCGAACGGGUGAGUAACACGUAUCUAAUCUACCUUCUAGCGGGGGAUAACUUUUGGAAACGAAAGGUAAUACCGCAUGUGGAUGUUAUUAUCGCAUGAGAAAACAUUCAAAGAUCCGUUUGGAUCACUAGAAGAUGAGGAUGCGGCGUAUUAGCUAGUAGGCGGGGUAAAGGCCCACCUAGGCGAUGAUACGUAGCCGAACUGAGAGGUUGAUCGGCCACAUUGGGACUGAGAUACGGCCCAGACUCCUACGGGAGGCAGCAGUAGGGAAUUUUUCACAAUGGACGAAAGUCUGAUGAAGCAAUGCCGCGUGAGUGAUGACGGCCUUCGGGUUGUAAAGCUCUGUUGUAAGGGAAGAAAACAUAGGAGAGGAAAUGCUCUUAUCUUGACGGUACCUUACCAGAAAGCCACGGCUAACUAUGUGCCAGCAGCCGCGGUAAUACAUAGGUGGCAAGCGUUAUCCGGAUUUAUUGGGCGUAUAGGGUGCGUAGGCGGUUUCGCAAGUUUGAGGUUAAAGCCCGGAGCUCAACUCCGGUUCGCCUUGAAAACUGCGGGACUAGAAUAUCAGAGAGGUAAGCGGAAUUCCAUGUGUAGCGGUAAAAUGCGUAGAUAUAUGGAAGAACACCAGUGGCGAAAGCGGCUUACUGGCUGAUUAUUGACGCUGAGGCACGAAAGCGUGGGGAGCAAAUAGGAUUAGAUACCCUAGUAGUCCACGCCGUAAACGUUGAGUACUAAGUAUUGGGGAUUACCUCAGUGCUGCAGCUAACGCAUUAAGUACUCCGCCUGAGUAGUAUGCUCGCAAGAGUGAAACUCAAAGGAAUUGACGGGGACCCGCACAAGUGGUGGAGCAUGUGGUUUAAUUCGAAGCAACACGAAGAACCUUACCAGGGCUUGACAUACAGUGCAAAGCUACAGAGAUGUAGUGGAGGUUAACAUUGAUACAGGUGGUGCAUGGUUGUCGUCAGUUCGUGCCGUGAGGUGUUGGGUUAAGUCCCGCAACGAACGCAACCCUUGUCGUUAGUUACUAACAUUAAGUUGAGGACUCUAACGAGACUGCUAGUGUAAGCUAGAGGAAGGUGGGGAUGACGUCAAAUCAUCAUGCCCCUUAUGUCCUGGGCUACACACGUGCUACAAUGGCCGAUACAAAGAGUCGCAAUCUCGCGAGGGGGAGCUAAUCUCAAAAAGUCGGUCUCAGUUCGGAUUGAAGUCUGCAACUCGACUUCAUGAAGCCGGAAUCACUAGUAAUCGCGAAUCAGCUAUGUCGCGGUGAAUACGUUCUCGGGUCUUGUACACACCGCCCGUCAAACCACGAGAGUUGGUAAUACCAGAAGUACGUUUCCUAACCGUAAGGAAGGCGCGUCCCAAGGUAGGACUAGCGAUUGGGGUUAAG
rnacentral:rRNA from 1 species